rnacentral:lncRNA from 1 species
AGGCGCCUUCCACCAUAAUGGGAAACUUGGACCCAGAGACAUACUCAGAGGAAGAACGCUGUGUGAAGGCGGAGGCAGAGGUCAAGGGGAUUCAUCUAUGAGCCACAGACUGCCACAGACUGCCAGCCAACCCUCACCAGAGCCAGGAGAGAGGCACAGGGCAGAGUCUACCUCAUACCCCUCAGAAGGAGUCAACGGUGCUGAUACCUUGAUUUCUGACCUUUACCUUCAGAACUGUGAGACAAUAAAUUUCUAUUGUGUAAG